AUUUAUAUAUUGUAGGUCCCUUGUAUUGGUACUUUGGUCUCUAACAACUAUUUACCUUAGCAUUUUCAAGAAGACAUAAUGAUGGGCAAGAAAGAUGUUUGGAUAAUUGAUCUUCAAAUUUUUUUGUUGACAUUGCAGUUAAGGGUAGAUAUCAAUCUAUGAAGAGAAGCUUUUGAGUUAAGUUUUAUGAUAGUCAAUUCCUCACUCAAAAGAAGGUUUAGGC